rnacentral:rRNA from 1 species
UACGUAGGUGGCAAGCGUUGUCCGGAAUUAUUGGGCGUAAAGCGCGCGCAGGCGGCCUCUUAAGUCUGAUGUGAAAGCCCCCCGGCUCAACCGGGGAGGGCCAUUGGAAACUGGGAGGCUUGAGUAUAGGAGAGAAGAGUGGAAUUCCACGUGUAGCGGUGAAAUGCGUAGAGAUGUGGAGGAACACCAGUGGCGAAGGCGGCUCUUUGGCCUAUAACUGACGCUGAGGCGCGAAAGCGUGGGGAGCAAACAGG